UGUACGAAUCACCUUUUUCUCUUCCCUCUGUCUGUCUGACUCACAGACUGAUGCCUGCAGGAGGAGUCCUCUGGACAUCAGGAAGAGGAAAGUCACCCAUUAAGCAGCAUUAUUUCUGUUUCCCUGACCCUGACAUCCCACAUGGGAGCUCGUCUGGUGACCUAGAUCCUUGCAGGAAUGAUGCGGCAGAGUCAUGGUCAACUGCCAGUGGACACACAAUCUGAGCAAGAAAUAAACCUUUGUGCUGUAACCCGUCAA